rnacentral:rRNA from 1 species
GACGAACGCUGGCGGCGUGCUUAACACAUGCAAGUGGAGCGACGAACCAGGGCUUGCCCUGGGGCAGAGCCGCGAACGGGUGAGUAACACGUGGGUUACCUGCCUCGAUGACCGGGACAACCCGAGGAAACUCGGGCUAAUACCGGAUGUGCCCGCAAGGGGAAAGGAAGCUUCGGCCUCCGCAUCGAGAUGGGCCCGCGGCCCAUUAGCUUGUUGGUGAGGUAACGGCUCACCAAGGCUUCGAUGGGUAGCUGGUCUGAGAGGACGAUCAGCCACACUGGGACUGAGACACGGCCCAGACUCCUACGGGAGGCAGCAGUGGGGAAUCUUGCGCAAUGCGCGAAAGCGUGACGCAGCAACGCCGCGUGGGGGAAGAAGGCUUUCGGGUUGUAAACCCCUUUCAGUUGGGACGAAGCUCUGUCGGUUAAUAGCCGGUCAGAGUGACGGUACCUUCACAAGAAGCACCGGCUAACUACGUGCCAGCAGCCGCCGUAACAC